rnacentral:rRNA from 1 species
UAGUCCACGCCGUAAACGAUGAUCACUCGUUGUUGGCAACACAUCGUCAGCGACUGAACGAAAGUAUUAAGUGAUCCACCUGGGGAGUACGAUCGCAAGGUUGAAACUCAAAGGAAUUGACGGGGGCCCGCACAAGCGGAGGAGCAUGUGGUUUAAUUCGAUGAUACGCGAGGAACCUUACCUGGGCUUAAAUGCUAAACGACAUUCCGAGAAAUCGGAACUUCCUUCGGGACGUUUUGCAAGGUGCUGCAUGGUUGUCGUCAGCUCGUGCCGUGAGGUGUCGGGUUAAGUCCCAUAACGAGCGCAACCCCUAUUCUUAGUUGCCAUCAGAUAAUGCUGGGGACUCUAAGGAAACUGCCUACGCAAGUAGUGAGGAAGGUGGGGAUGACGUCAAAUCAGCACGGGCCCUUAUGUCCAGGGGCUACACACGUGCUACAAUGGGUCGGUACAGAGGGGUCGCUACCUGGGUGACAGGGAUGGCU